rnacentral:rRNA from 1 species
UGGGGAAUAUUGCGCAAUGGGCGAAAGCCUGACGCAGCGACGCCGCGUGAGGGAUGAAGGCCUUCGAGUUGUAAACCUCUUUCAGCAGGGAAGAAGCGAAAGUGACGGUACCUGCAGAAGAAGCACCGGCUAACUACGUGCCAGCAGCCGCGGUAAUACGUAGGGUGCAAGCGUUGUCCGGAAUUAUUGGGCGUAAAGAGCUCGUAGGCGGUUUGUCGCGUCUGCUGUGAAAUCCCAGGGCUUAACCCUGGGCCUGCAGUGGGUACGGGCAAACUAGAGUGCGGUAGGGGAGAUCGGAAUUCCUGGUGUAGCGGUGAAAUGCGCAGAUAUCAGGAGGAACACCGGUGGCGAAGGCGGAUCUCUGGGCCGUAACUGACGCUGAAGAGCGAAAGCAUGGGUAGCGAAC